AAGUCGUAACAAGGUUUCCGUAGGUGAACCUGCGGAAGGAUCAUUAUUGAAUAACUUUGGCGUGGUUGUAGCUGGUCCUCUCGGGGGCAUGUGCUCGCCCGUCAUCUUUAUAUCUCCACCUGUGCACCUUUUGUAGACGUUGGAACUGGAUAGGAGGAGGGACUCGUCCUUCAAGUUGAAGGUUUUUUCGGCGCUCUACGUUUUCAUAUACCCCAAAGAAUGUAACAGAAUGUAUCUUAUGGCUUUAUGCCUAUAAACUAUAUACAACUUUCAGCAACGGAUCUCUUGGCUCUC
rnacentral:misc_RNA from 1 species